AUGGCGGGGUGGUUGAGCUUGUGCUUGAUAAGCCUUUCCACAGUACUGGCCCUUUUGUUUCUCAAGCUCUCCAGCCGCAAGAACAAGUCCAAGAAGAAGCUGCCUCCUGGGCCAUGGACUCUCCCUAUCAUCGGCAGCCUCCACCGCGUCGUCAGCGCCCUACCGCACCGCACGAUGACAGAGCUGUCUCGCCGGCAUGGGCCGCUGAUGUUCCUCCGGCUAGGCGAAGUCCCCACCGUGGUAGUCUCCAACGCCGAGGCGGCAGCGCUGGUGAUGAAGACCAACGACCGUGCGUUCGCUAGCCGGCCAUGCAGCGCGACGCAGGACAUCUUUGGCUGCGGCGGCAAGGGCAUCGCCUUUGCCCCCUACUCCGACCACUGGCGCCAGAUGCGCAAGAUCUGCGUAACGGAGCUCCUCAACUCCAAGCAGGUGAGACGCAUGGAGGGCGUCAGGGCCGAGGAGGCGGGCAACCUCGUCCGUUCCAUCACCGCCUCGGCCGGCGCCACGGUCAACGUCAGUGAGAAGGUGCGGGCGCUCAGCAACGACGUCGUGUGCCGGGCGGUUUUCGGCGGCAAGUUUGCACGGCAGGACGAGUACCUCCGCGAGUUGGACGAGGCGUUCGCGCUGGUGGGCGGCUUCUGCCUCGUCGACCUCUUCCCGUCGUCGCGGCUCGUGCGGUGGCUCAGCAACGGCGAGCGCCGCAUGAGGACGAGCUACGGCCGCAUACAGCGCAUCAUCGCUGGUAUCAUCGACGAACGCAAGGACACGCGGGCUGCCGGCGUUGCCGGCGGCAGCACCGACGAUGAGGACCUGCUGGACGUACUGCUCAGGCUGCAGCUGGAAGACUCGCUGGAAUUCCCUCUAACCAAAGAGAUUAUGGGAGCCGUCUUGUUUGACAUGUUUGCGGCAGCCACGCAUACCACAUCAACUGUUUUAGAGUGGGCUAUGUCAGAGCUCAUGAACAAUCCCGGAGCUAUGGCUAAGGCACAAUUAGAGGUCCGAGAGGUGGUAGGUCAACAUGGAGCUGUCAUUACGAACAACGUCCUUGGUGACCUACACUACAUGCAGAUGGUCAUCAAGGAGGUCCUUAGAUUGCAUCCGCCCGGUCCUCUAGUCCCCCGCAUGACUAGGGAGGACUGUACGAUCAUGGGUUAUGACAUGUUUAAAGGUACCAAUGUAUAUGUUAAUGUCUUCGCAAUUUCCAGAGAUCCAAGAUCUUGGGAAAAUCCUGAGGAGUUUAAGCCAGAAAGGUUUGAGAACAACAACAUAAAUUACAACGGAACAUACUCUGAGUUCAUUCCCUUCGGAGCUGGACGACGACAGUGCCCUGGCAUGUUGUUCGGAACAUCGACUGUAAACAUCACAUUGGCAUAUCUUCUUUAUCACUUAGAGUGGAUGUUUCCUAUUGGGACUAACCUUGAUACAUUUGAUAUGUCCGAGAAAUUUGGGCUGGCGGUAAGUAGAAGGUGUGACUUGCAACUCAGAGCUAUUCCACAUGGGAGCUUGAAAACUAUGGGCUCGCAGUGA
rnacentral:rRNA from 1 species